rnacentral:rRNA from 1 species
UACGUAGGGCGCAAGCGUUUAUCCGGAAUUAUUGGGCGUAAAGAGCUCGUAGGUGGUUUGUCGCGUUGUUCGUGAAAAACUCACAGCUUAACUGUGGGCGUGCGGGCGAUACGGGGCAGACUUGAGUACUGCAGGGGGAGACUGGAAUUCCUGGUGUAGCGGUGGAAUGCGCAGAUAUCAGGAGGAACACCGGUGGCGAAGGCGGGGUCUCUGGGCAGUAACUGACGCUGAGGAGCGAAAAGCGUGGGGGAGCGAACAGG